CAGACUAGACGUUGGAGCUCUCGACCACUCAACGGUGUUACCAUCAGAAAGGUGUAAUAAAUUAGUUUUAAGGAUUAUUAUAAAGUAGUUGCAACGGUAAACGAACUGAAAAUGGGGAGAAAGAGGACAAGGGAAAUCAUAAUUCUCAGAGGACUCCCCGGAUCAGGGAAGACAGCUCUGGCAAGUAAUAUCUUGGAGAUGUAUGGUUCUGGAGAAGCCUUCAGCACAGACGACUACUUCAGGGUGGACGGGGAGAUGGUUGGGUUCCGUGAUACAUCCCUGAACAAAGCUCAUGUAUGGAACCACAACAGAGUUCUUCUAGCCAUCAAAAAUAAAGUCCAUCCGAUCGUAAUUGACAACACCAAUCUGCAGAAAUGGGAGAUGUGGCCUUAUGUCCGAAUGGUGAGGACUACUUUUGCCUGUGUGUGUGUGUGUGUGUGUGUGUGUGUGUG